GACGAACGCUGGCGGCGUGCCUAAUACAUGCAAGUCGAGCGAGCGGCGGACGGGUGAGUAAUGUAUGGGGACUGCCCGAUAGAGGGGGAAACCUACUGGAAACGGUGGCUAAUACCGCAUACUAUCGGAUAACCCAUAUGGGAUUAGCUUGUAGGUGGGGUAAAGGCUCACCUAGGCGACGAUCCCUAGCUGGUCUGAGAGGAUGAUCAGCAACACUGAGACUGAGACACGUCCCAUCCUCCUACGGAGGCAGCGGUGGGGAUUAUUGCACAAUGGGGGCAAGCCUGAUGCAGCCAUGCCGGGUGUAUGAAGAAGGCCUGGGGGUUGUAAAGUACUUUCAGCGGGGAGCGUUACCCGCAGAAGAAGCACCGGCUAACUCCGUGCCAGCAGCCGCGGUAAUUC
rnacentral:rRNA from 1 species